AGGCUGGGGAGUCAGCCCAGUGUUGGGGCUCACACAAGGGGGAGUCCAGGGGAGUCAGGAGCACCACAAACAAGGCUCCAGGAGGACAGACGGUGGGAGCACUGCCAGCCUGGGUGAGGAGAUAAAGGGGUGGCAGGGGAGGUGACCAGGAAAGAAUCUACAUGGCAAGGACUUCCCGGCCCCAGGCCUGGGCUACGCCUCCAUGGUGAUCGUCUUCUACUGCAACACCUACUACAUCAUGGUGCUGGCCUGGGGCUUCUAUUACCUGGUCAAGUCCUUCACCACCACGCUGCCCUGGGCCACAUGUGGCCACACAUGGAACACUCCCGACUGCGUGGAGAUCUUCCGCCAUGACGACUGUGCCAAUGCCAGCCUGGCCAACCUCACCUGUGACCAGCUUGCUGACCGCCGGUCCCCUGUCAUCGAGUUCUGGGAGAACAAAGUCUUGAGGCUGUCUGGGGGACUGGAGGUGCCAGGGGCCCUCAACUGGGAGGUGACCCUUUGUCUGCUGGCCUGCUGGGUGCUGGUCUACUUCUGUGUCUG
rnacentral:sRNA from 1 species